UACGUAGGUGGCAAGCGUUGUCCGGAUUUAUUGGGCGUAAAGAGCGUGUAGGCGGCCAGACAGGUCCGUUGUGAAAACUCGAGGCUCAACCUCGAGACGUCGACGGAAACCGUCUGGCUAGAGUCCGGAAGAGGAGUGUGGAAUUCCUGGUGUAGCGGUGAAAUGCGCAGAUAUCAGGAAGAACACCUAUGGCGAAGGCAGCACUCUGGGACGGUACUGACGCUGAGACGCGAAAGCGUGGGGAGCGAACAGG
rnacentral:rRNA from 1 species